UACGUAGGGUGCAAGCGUUGUCCGGAAUUAUUGGGCGUAAAGAGCUCGUAGGCGGUUCGUCGCGUCGGCUGUGAAAACCUGAGGCUCAACCUCAGGCCUGCAGUCGAUACGGGCGGACUUGAGUACUGCAGGGGAGACUGGAAGUUCCUGGUGUAGCGGUGAAAUGACGCAGAUAUCAGGAGGAACACCGGUGGCGAAGGCGGGUCUCUGGGCAGUAACUGACGCUGAGGAGCGAAAGCGUGGGGAGCGAACAGG
rnacentral:rRNA from 1 species